GGACUACUGGGGUUUCUAAUCCCGUUCGCUCCCCUGGCUUUCGCCCCUCAGCGUCAGGUACCUCCCAGGACACUGCCUUCGCCUUUGGUAUUCCUCCGGAUCUCUACGCAUUUCACCACUCCACCCGGAAUUCUAUGUCCCUCUGAGGCCCUCUCAGUCCCACCGUCUUCCCGGCACUCCUCUCGUUAAGCAAGAGACUGGCACCGGAAACGCGCAGAACCGCCUGCGGGCGCUUUACGCCCAGUAACUCCGGACAACGCUUGCCCCCUACGUAUUACCGCGGCUGCUGGCAC
rnacentral:rRNA from 1 species